rnacentral:sRNA from 1 species
AUUAUCAACUAUGGAAAAGCUAUAAAUUUGGUAAGAAAAUGUGUAUAGUAAGUUGUACAAAAAUGCGUGUCCCUUUUAUGGCCCUUGGCCCUAUUACUUAUACCUAAGAAUCAUACUUAAUUCUCAUUUACUCAUAAUUAUUAUCUCUUAAAUGUAUCCGUUUCAGUCUUUGAAUUUACAGUUCAAACGUUCGAAUUUGAAUUAACUUUGAGCAUCAUGGGCUUCCCCUUUUCAUCCCAACGGCCUUUUAAACCAGCUACUUCUUAUCUCGAUUUUACUUUUACCUUGCGGUAUGACCACUUUGCCCGCGUUCUUCUCCUCGACUAAAGAAGCAUGUGGGCCACGCUUUUGUGGGCCUCUUUCCUAUCCAUAUGUCAAUUU